ACGAUUUCUCAAUUUCUAAAUGAUCGUUCACUCUCGCAACCAAAGACUGCAAACAACACUUAUAGUGUAUGUAGUUGUUUAUAUUACGCUAUUAAUUUAGUAUUAAAGGAUAAAUAUUAUCACACGUUUAUGUGAAAGUAUGAGAAGGAGAUAGUGUCGUUCAAUCGAGAUAGUUGUGAGCUAGCCAACUUUCGACUUCAUCAGUUGUGCAAUAACGGUUGUUGUUACAAUCUAAUCACCGUCGGGAAUUUUUAAACAUGGCUGAACUAAGUGUCAAGAGAUUAAAGACCAGCCUGCCUAUCUGUAAAAUUCACAGACCAUUUGUCGGGAGCAGGGUGAAACAGAACCUCCCUGCGGUCGUUGAGGAGAGUUUGUGAGGAGUAUCUACAAUGCUUAUGGAGAUUACUUACAGACUUGAUGCACUGGCCAAUAUAUUUGAGCAGGAUGAUAUUGCCUUGCCAAGCGUGGCAGCGUUCUUCCAUGAGCACUCUGAGCAGGAACAGGCGCAGGCUGAGGCCAUGCUGGACUACCUGUCAGACAGAGGGGGACAGCACUGUAAUAAAGACAUACAGGCCGAUGGUGGCUGGCCCGCUCCAGGAGGCUGAAGUGCGUGAUGUUCCUCCGCCUCCUCUAGACAUCGAGGGGGUUCCGGCGUACUCUGUUCGAUCCAUUUUGGAUUCGAGACGUCGGGCGAGGGGCCUUCAGUACCUCGUGGACUGGGAGGGCUACGGGCCGGAGGAGAGAUGCUGGGUUCCGGUGGAGGACGUGUUAGAUCCUUCCAUGUUAUCAGAAUUCCACCGUCUCCAUCCGGAUCGCCCUGCACCUCGCCCUCCGGGUCGUCCCCGAGGCCGGUGUCGACGCGCAGCUGGAGCCGCGCGUCAGGGGAGGGUACUGUCACGACUUCUGCCGAAGUCGUUGCCUCUCCUUGUUCGGGCGGUGCUCGGCGUUCGACGUCACCGGUCUUCUAGCCAUCAUUGAUCCAUUUUUCAUUUUCCAUUGGUUUUGUCUUGUCUUCCCACACACCUGUUUUCAAUCCCAUUCAUUACCUGUUGUGUAUUUAACCCUCUGUUUCCCCUCCCCUUUGUCAGAGAUUGUUUAUUGUCAGUGUAGUGUUGUUGUUGUAUAGGUGCGCGACGGGUCUUCCUACCCAUAUUUGUUUAUGUUCUUUUCCUGUUUAGUGUUAUGGAGCAUGUUACUAUGACAUUAUUAAAAGACUCCAUUUUACACUCCGUUUGACUCUCCUGCGCCUGACUUCCCUGCCACCUAUAUGCCUGACACUCAGCCCCUUUCUCUCUCGAUCUCUCUCUCUCAUUUCUCUCUCAAAGACAGGCAGGCAAGCAGUUCUUGUUAUAGUUUUUUGUAAAAAUAUCUCCCUGUUCAACUUUUCUCCUUUUUAAAUUUUUUUUAAUUUAGAGUUCAUUUUUUUCUUACAUAAUCCUGUAUAUUUAAGAAUGACCUAUUCUGAUAUCUUGGUUUGUGUAUGGUGAAGUACAUUAUUGGCCAGUAUUUGUCAAUGUUCUUAUCACUGUAUCUCGCUCUGUCUCUGUCUCUCUCUUUCUCUCCCCUACUAUCUGGAGUUAUAAUGUUGCUCUUUUCAAAUGUUAUUCUUUGUGGUUAAAGUGCAAUUCAUGUGAAAUUCAUGUUUUGAAUUUGAAUAAAUAUAUAUAUUUGUA